GCGCCCAUCCCCCCACAUCUCACGGUCUGACUGGAGUCGAGUUUCACAGAGCAACGCAACAGGAGGAUGACACAACAGUUAUAAGAGCAUUAACAGGUAAACACUGGAAAAUCCUUCCUUCAUCACCUUUAAAGCAUUUUUAAACUUUAAAAAUGUGUUGUUUGUCGUGACUCUUCAUUUUAAUACUGAUUCGGUUACGGUAAUUUGUGUAAAGUUGUAUACGACGUGACAACGCGACAUUGACACAGCACUAUUGCCUCAUUUUAAUAGACUCAUUUUAAUGAGCUGGUUAAUGUUCAUUAAGUACACCACAGUUCUGUAAGUGGAGAAAUAAUUCAUAUUUGUGUGUUUCUCUCUCAGUAAGGACUAACGUUAACUGACUGUCUGUCUGUCUGCUCUCAACCAAACAGUCAUUCAAGACCUUUCAAAGUUUAGCACAAAAGUUUCCAGCACAAGUUUGGAUCUUUACCAUUGAGGGUGGCUGACUGUUCUCGACCAACCAUCAUUCACACGCAAAAACUUUAAAGAUAAGUAUGAACGUGCCCAGAGCAGUUUUCGAUCUUUACCAUUAAGGAGGCUGACUGACUAUCCUCUACCACCCGUCAUUAACACAACAAAAACUAAAGAAAUGUUACUCCAUAUGGACCUAUUCAUUUACUCAUUAUGCUGUGAGUACACCACAGUUUUAUCAGUGAAAAAAUUUAUAUUUGUGUGUUUUCUCACUGCUUGGCAAGGACAGAUGUGGCCCUGUUAAAAAUGUUUAAAUGUUGUUUGGUUAAGGAACAGCACACUGAUUUUGUUUUAAAAUAUUCCUGUUUGGACAGUCUGUUAAAGUCAAAGGAAUACUUGAUAUAUUUCUAAGUAAAGUGUAAAUGAAAAAAUUAGUUUUUAAUGUUGUGACUGAACACAAUGUUGUGAAUGAUUUGGACUGAACAGCACACUUCUGUUUUAUAUCUGAACCUUUUGUAAAAUAAAUGAUUGUUCAUUAAACUCACUGUGUAUUUUAUCUUUUCUGUUAUCAUUUUUUUAUACUAAUGUUUAAAAUUUACCUUUACUCUAAACAAUUGGCUAAACCAACACAAAUACACU